AACGAACGCUGGCGGCAGGCUUAACACAUGCAAGUCGAACGCGAAAUCACCUUCGGGUGGUGGAGAGUGGCAGACGGGUGAGUAACGCGUGGGAACCUACCUAGUGGUACGGAAUAACUCAGGGAAACUUGGGCUAAUACCGUAUGUGCCCGAAAGGGGAAAGAUUCAUCGCCACUAGAUGGGCCCGCGUCGGAUUAGCUUGUUGGUGAGGUAACGGCUCACCAAGGCGACGAUCCGUAGCUGGUCUGAGAGGAUGAUCAGCCACACUGGGACUGAGACACGGCCCAGACUCCUACGGGAGGCAGCAGUGGGGAAUAUAGGACAAGGGGCGCAAGCCUGAUCCAGCCAUGCCGCGUGAGUGAUGAAGGCCCUAGGGUUGUAAAGCUCUUUCGGCGGGGACGAUAAUGACGGUACCCGCAGAAGAAGCCCCGGCUAACUUCGUGCCAGCCGCCGCAGUAA
rnacentral:rRNA from 1 species